rnacentral:rRNA from 1 species
UACGGGGGGAGCAAGCGUUGUUCGGAUUUACUGGGCGUAAAGGGCGGGUAGGCGGCCACCGCAAGUCGACUGUGAAAUCUCCGGGCUUAACCCGGAAAGGUCAGCCGAUACUGCGGGGCUAGAGUGCAGAAGGGGCAACUGGAAUUCUCGGUGUAGCGGUGAAAUGCGUAGAUAUCGGGAAGAACACCCGUGGCGAAGGCGGUUCUCUGGGACGGUACUGACGCUGAGACGCGGAAGCGUGGGGAGCGAACAGG